UACGUAGGGUGCGAGCGUUGUCCGGAAUUAUUGGGCGUAAAGAGCUUGUAGGCGGUUUGUCGCGUCUGCUGUGAAAAUCCGGGGCUCAACCCCGGACUUGCAGUGGGUACGGGCAGACUAGAGUGUGGUAGGGGAGACUGGAAUUCCUGGUGUAGCGGUGAAAUGCGCAGAUAUCAGGAGGAACACCGAUGGAGAAGGCAGGUCUCUGGGCCACUACUGACGCUGAGAAGCGAAAGCAUGGGGAGCGAACAGGAUUAGAUA
rnacentral:rRNA from 1 species